rnacentral:tRNA from 1 species
UGCCUUGUGACCGAGUGGCGAGGUGAAGCCCUGCAAAGGCUUUUACGGCGGUUCGAAUCCGCCCUGGGCAA